CGGCGGACGGGUGAGUAACACGUGGAUAACCUACCUAUAAGACUGGGAUAACUUCGGGAAACCGGAGCUAAUACCGGAUAAUAUAUUGAACCGCAUGGUUCAAUAGUGAAAGACGGUUUUGCCGUCACUUAUAGAUGGAUCCGCGCUGCAUUAGCUAGUUGGUAAGGUAACGGCUUACCAAGGCAACGAUGCGUAGCCGACCUGAGAGGGUGAUCGGCCACACUGGAACUGAGACACGGUCCAGACUCCUACGGGAGGCAGCAGCC
rnacentral:rRNA from 1 species